CACGAACACUACAUGUCCAGACGAACAGUUAAAACAUUUUACAGUCUUAUUGUGAACAAAUAUUAUGUUAUAUUGAAAUGUUACGAAAUAGGAAACUGCGUAUAAGAAAUUUCCCUACAAGUCAGUAGCUGGUGUUGGCAACACCUGACCUGGCAGGCGUAUAUAAUGUCUGGGGUUCCGUGUUCCAGACACACUCCUUCACAGCUUCUCUUGUCAUUACCAAAUCAUCUGCCAACAUGAAGAUCUUUGCGAUGAUGAUGGCUGUUCUGGCGGUGCUGUUCGCAGUCUUGGGGACUGCCAAUGGCGAUUUUGAUGCAAAGCCUCACAGUGCCCUCGUUGCUCGCUCACCUGAUCCAAUCCUCGAUGCCUCUGCUCAAAAUAAGAAAAAAUAAAUAAGAAAAUGAGGUAAUCGGCACCUCGGAUGAUCCAUGCAUUAGCUCUCUUCUAAUAAAUAUAUAUAAUGGAAAUAUCCAUUAUGUUCUUGCUGACCCCCACUGCCAGUGCCCACUGCCAGUGCCCACUACCAGUGCCCACUAACAGUGCCCACUUCCGUGGAUGAAGGGCAAGGGGGGAGUGGAACAUCAACGUGUCCACCACAAACACAGAGCCGUUGGUGACAGGGUACCAUGAAGGACUUGUUAUAAAAUCUUCGUGUAAUAUGAUGCAUCACAAUAAACUUUUGCAUCGUUUAAGAGGAACAACUUUGCUGUUCUUACACUUCUGUUAAUGUGACAUUGUUAAUAAAUUCUAUGACAUGGA